GCCUGGAUAGCUCAGUCGGUAGAGCACACCCAUGGUAAGGGUGAGGUCGGCGGUUCAAUCCCGCUUUCAGGCU
rnacentral:tRNA from 1 species